CUGCGCCUGCGCAGGAUACGGCGGCUACAAUAUUCGUGAGACGCACAGGUUUGCUUCAGAUCGCUGUUGAUCAUACAAAACUCAUAUUUGAGAAGCCAUCUCAUACCUAACUGAAUCUUUUCAAGCACAUAAACAUCCCUUUCGGUGGAAAGGAGUGUAUUUUGAAAUAAAUUGGUUUCUGGUUCAAAUUCGUUCGAGGACUGUCGAGCGUUUCCCCUCAUAUUACAUCACUUUGAUACAGUUGGAUCAAGUCAGUGACGGUUUGAUCAUGAAGGAGGAGGGCAGCCCCAGUGUGAAACACAUCUUUGAUCAGAAAUCUCCAUGGCUGGCAGCUCCUCUUGCUCCAGCAGCAGUAGCAGUGACGGCUCCGCCUCCAGCAGCAGAGGGAGCCAUUCCUCCCGCAGGUCACGGGGGUCAUCACGGGGGCGCCGCAGAUCACGUUCCUCCACGUCCUCUUCCUCACGCUCCCGUUCUCGCUCUCACCCACGCUGUCACCGGGUUUCCAGCCACUCAUGCUGCCACCACCGCCACUAUUCUCCCCCACGCCUUUACCGUGCUCACUCCCGCUCCUACAGCCCGUCCCCAGAACGAUCAUCUGGUCGCAGACGCUAUCGACAGCGCAGUCGCUCUCCAAGUCCCUACGGCUACUCCCGACGGUCAUCCUGCUCUCCUGUCCAUUGGUGGGGUGGUAGGUUUGUGGGGAGGUAUCGGUGCCGGUUUUCCCCCUCUCCUGACAGGUACAGAUCUCACAGGAGCCGGUCCCGGAGCCAGGAACGCACUGCCAUCCGUCUCAGUCAUGCAGAGAAAAAGUAUCUAUUGGAUAUUGCCAAAACGAAUGCUGCAAGGAUUCUGGGAGUGCAAAACUUAGAGCUGCCAGCGAGCUUGAAAGAGUUGGAGGAGCAGGAGGAGAAGAGAUCUUCAGUUCAAGAGAAAAGGUUCAGAGAUGACCCAGCACAGAGCCGAACUCCUUCACCCUUUGGACAAAGAGGGAAAAAGGGGGUGGUCACAUGACUUGAAAGACACCAACUUUAAGUCUUAAAUGCACAACUGCAAAGGUUAAGUAAAUGCGAUGUCAGCGGUAGAAUUGUAUUGAAAAACGGACAAAACACUUUUAACAGUAAUAUAAACGCACGUGUCUGAUUCAUCUCACUUCUCAGCCCCUUCCACACAACAACUGUUAGAAUGGCAGAACAUGUUUGCUGAUGGUUGAACUGGUUUGUAUUAUCAUUUACCAGAGUUUUCCUCUGUUCAGUGUUUGUGAAGACCAGAGAGAGCUUACUCCACUCAUGAUGGAUGGGGUUUGGAAACACAAUUUCUUUAUUUCGCUCAGCCAAGUUUUUUCCCCCUUUUUUGCUUUGUUCAGACAGGCAGCAGAAAUCUGAUUAUUUUGGCACAUCAAACUUAUGUGGUUUGAAAUCAUUUCAGUCGAAAAGGUCUAAUAGGAUUAAAAUAAAUUUUCCCUAAUUUGGGUUGUGCUUUUCUGCUUUGUGUGGUUUUACCGAACAGUGAAAACCUUAAGGUUAGACUAUAAAGAAAAAUCUAAGUUGGGUCCGGUGCAGUGUGAACAAAGCUUUUCUGAAUUUUCUCUUGUGACACAUACUGUACUUGUAGUCUCAGCAAAUGUUUAAAACCUGAACUGUAUUUGAGUUUUGAUGUCCUUUUACACUCAUUAGCAGGUCAGAAUUAGUAAUACACAUGCUAGACUCUCUUCAGUAUGUAUCUCGAUUACAGGCUGAGGGCAGUUUAACUUAAAGCUGAGACAAUGUGCUAGCAAGUAGGUUUACAUAAAAUUGACAGUGUUGUUAAUAUCACCAUUUUCCUCCUUUUCUUCUAGGUAAACCAUGAUGAUGAUGAUGAUGAUGAUAGUGGUGAAGGGACUUCUCACACAUCACCCAAAACAAAGCCAAUUAUCUUCAGCAUCAAUAAUACUGUCACUAAACCUUCAAACAGUCCAACGC